rnacentral:piRNA from 1 species
UCCUCAUAUUUUAACCCCCACCAAAGGCCUU